rnacentral:rRNA from 1 species
AUUGAACGCUGGCGGCAGGCCUAACACAUGCAAGUCGAGCGGCAGCACAGGUACUUGUACCGGGUGGCGAGCGGCGGACGGGUGAGUAAUGCCUAGGAAUCUGCCUGGUAGUGGGGGAUAACGCUCGGAAACGGACGCUAAUACCGCAUACGUCCUACGGGAGAAAGCAGGGGACCUUCGGGCCUUGCGCUAUCAGAUGAGCCUAGGUCGGAUUAGCUAGUUGGUGAGGUAAAGGCUCACCAAGGCGACGAUCCGUAACUGGUCUGAGAGGAUGAUCAGUCACACUGGAACUGAGACACGGUCCAGACUCCUACGGGAGGCAGCAGUGGGGAAUAUUGGACAAUGGGCGAAAGCCUGAUCCAGCCAUGCCGCGUGUGUGAAGAAGGUCUUCGGAUUGUAAAGCACUUUAAGUUGGGAGGAAGGGUCGUUACCUAAUACGUGACGAUUUUGACGUUACCGACAGAAUAAGCACCGGCUAACUCUGUGCCAGCCGCCGCCGUAAAAC